rnacentral:lncRNA from 1 species
AACUCCAAAGAGUGUGAGCUACGGGAAAGACACACAUUUAGGGACGAGCAAAUUAUGUCUCCUUACUGAUCUGUCGCUUUUCUUCCUUACAUGCACUCUUGGAAGAAAACAAAACUGUGUAAUGAUAUCCCCAGUGGACACUGUGGAAGCCAUCCAGUUGCCUCAUUUUAACCAGUGAAGAAACUUUGGAUUGGCAAAGGUUCCAAGAGUAACUACGAGCCACAGAGCCAGGACAGAAAGCCUCCCGACUCCCUGUGAGCCUUUACCAGGAACCCCUUGUUCUUCAUCAAUAAAAGCCAGCAUUACUUCUAGGAAACACUUCUAGUGUAUACAGAUCAGUGGUUGGCAUCAGAAAUGGCCUACAGCCUCUGAAUCAAGUGAUGAUUUCACCCCAGACAACAAGAACCCACGUGACUGUUGCCAUAGCAACGACCACACAUUACUAGUGCUCACUUCAUUCACUUCACCUGCCCACCACCUUACCUGUGUGUGGUAGUGCGUCUAAUUACAUCACAGCCCAAAUAAAAGACAGGGAUCCCAGAACCCUCACCCUUCUUCAUUGCCCUCCUGUUUUCCUCUUCCCUUCCCCUCUUCCCCUUAAUAAACCUUUUCUUGGAA